GCAGCGAAGACUUGGAAAUGACAGCACCUUUUAAUAGUUCCAUGCCAUACGUUACCGGUAUUACUUUCGAAAUGGCCAGAAGCCAUUUCGAACUUACAAUUUCAAGCGGCCAAUACGCUCCCCCGAGCAUCGCAAAACUUACACCGACCAAAGGCAGGAGCGCAUUAAACUGUCCCGUCGUUUUUACUAAACCUGUCAGCAAUAUCGUUAACGCGACAAUAGAAAAUAGAUAAGGA
rnacentral:antisense_RNA from 1 species